CGGAAGAAGGGGAGGGCGGGACGGGGGAGGAACACGGGGGGAACCGGCCGAAAAGAAGGGGAGAACACGGGGAAACAGGGGCGAAGACCGGAGAGCGCGAAGGAGCGCAGGAGCCGGAGAGGAAAGAGGGGGCGGCGAGCGCGGGGAGAGGGACCCGCGGCGGAGGAACGAGGGGGGGGGGAACGGCCGACCAAGGGGAGGAGACGGAGCCGAACGGAGAGGGGGAGCGGCCACAGGGGGACGGAGACACGGCCCAAACGCCGACGGGAGGCAGCAGGAGGGAAGCGGCCACAAGGGACGCAAGGCGGAGGGGAGCAACGCCGCGGGAGGGAAGAAGGGCGGCGGAGCGGAAAACGCGGGGGGAGAGAAGAACACGAGGGAGAGGAACGGGGCAGGCGAGGACGGGAGCGAACCAGCAAGGCACGGCGAACGACGGGCCAGCAGCCGCGGGAAGACGGAGGGGGCAAGCGGGGGCCGGAGGGAGGGGGCGGAAAGGGAACGCAGGCGGGCGGGGAAGGCGGAGGGGAAAGCCGGCGGCGGAACCGGAGGAGGGCAGGGGAAACGGGAAGACGGGAGGGCAGAAGAGGAGAGGGGAACGCCAGGGGGAGCGGGGAAAGGCGGAGAGAGAGGGAAGAACACCAGGGGCGAAAGCGGCGCGCGGGGCGGGAACGGACGCGGAGGGGCGAAAGCGGGGGGAGCAAACAGGAGGAGAGACCCGGGGAGGCCACGCCGGAAACGAGGAAGGCGAGGGGGGGAGGGGGCCGCCCGGCAGGGCCGCAGCGAACGCAAGAAGCAGGCCGCCGGGGGAGGACGACCGCAAGGGGGAAACGCAAAGGAAGGGACGGGGGCCCGCACAAGCGGGGGAGCAGGGGGGGAAGGCGAAGCAACGCGAAGAACCGGACCAGGGCGGGACAGCCGGGGACCACCGAAGAGAGGAGGGGGCCCGGCGGGGACAAAGGGACAGGGGGGGCAGGGCGGGCGGCAGCGCGGGGCGGGAGAGGGGGGGGAAGGCCCGCAACGAGCGCAACCCGGGGGGCAGGGGCCAGCAGGAAGGGGGCACGCGGGCGAGACGGCCGGGGACAAACCGGAGGAAGGGGGGGACGACGGCAAGGCAGCAGGCCCCGGAGGACCGGGGCGACACACGGGCGACAAGGGACGGGACAACGAGGCGCGAGACCGCGAGGGGAGCGAAGCGCGGAAAGCCGGGCGCAGGGCGGAGGGGAGGCGGCAACGCGCCGACAGGAAGGCGGAAGCGCGAGGAAGCGCGAAGCAGCAGGGCGCGGGGAAGACGGGCCCGGGCCGGGGACACACCGCCCGGCACACCAGGAGAGGGGGGAACACCCAAAGCCGGGGGGGGAACCGCAAGGAGCCAGCCGGCGAAGGGGGGACAGAGGAGGGGGGGGAAGGCGGAACAAGGGAGCCGGAGGAGAACCGGCGGCGGGAGCACCGCCGGGCGAAGGAA
rnacentral:rRNA from 1 species